AUGAAAAGGGUGUCUUUUCCCUCUGCCUCAACCCUCCCAAUAGUACAAAUAAAACCCCCCACAAGAUUAAAGAAGAGAGUUAAAGCAAGAAUCCUCAUGACAAGGGGUGGCUGGCUACUCUGGCAUCUUCAAGUCUGAGGUUGCUGUUUUCCAGGGGGUGAUGUGCAGGGGCAGACCUGCCUGACUUGGAUAUCAGCUUCUCCAUGAAAAUAUGCAGUGCCUAAAAUUUACACUGAUCAAUUUGUUCACGAGAAAGGACAUUUCUAAAAGAGCGAGGAGACUGACCCCAGAACCAAGAGGAGUACUGGAGAGCAGAAGAUGAAGAAAAACCUUUAAACAGCAGAGCAGUGAAGUGGAGGGAGAGGCGGCCCCUCUCCUUUGCCAGAGACUCCCACUCCCAGAUGCAGGCCCGAGCGAUCCCUCAUAAUUUAAGCUGACACCCCUCAGCGGAGAUGAAAGGAACACCACUCGCUGCUCUCCAACAACAAAUGUCAGCAUCCCUGGAGGCCAUUUAGACACAAACGCAGCAUAAAUCUGACUCCUAGUGGGGAAGUCCAGAGAUUAAGUCUCCAUGCACAGCCUACCAGAGUGAAAUGAAUUUGCUUGGCACAAAGUUUGAACGUGUUUCUCAGGGCCUUUCUUUCCCCUUUCUUGUAAAAAAAAAUCUGGAACGGUU
rnacentral:antisense_RNA from 1 species